rnacentral:lncRNA from 1 species
GGAUGUAGGGGUAUGGGUGCAGUGACCCAGCCCUGGGUGCUAAUGGAGGGCUGGGAAGCGUCCCUCCACAGCUCACUUCUGGCACCAGCCCCAGAGCAGUGGCAGCCAUGUCCCAGUGGGCAGCCGUGGCCAUGUCACCAUGGUGUCACCAUGGUUGUCAUUGUGACACGGCCGCCUCGAAGGGUACAAAGAGGGCUGCUCCCCCAGGUGCAGGUGCAGGUGAAGCCAUGGAGGCAGAGGGUGCGAAGGGGUCCCUGGAGCAUGCACAGGAGUCCCUGGAGAACAUGGCGGAGGUCUUGGCGCAGGUCGCUCAGGCAAGGGCUGGUGUGGAAGCGGCGCUGGAGGAGUUCCUAAAGUGCAAACGGAGACGUGCAGAGCUGGAAGAGGCUGUUGCUGAAAGAGCCAGUAUCAACAAGGCUCUGAGGGAGGAGAUUAAGAACCUCCAGGAGAGAAGGGAGGUUUUCAAAACGCAAACUGCCAGCAAUGCUGCACGACUGUGAGCAGCUCCCAGCCUCUUGUCAGAGCCCCCCGCGCCCCCAAGGCCUGGGGCACGGAGAAGGCAGAGGGUGCAGGGG